rnacentral:rRNA from 1 species
CCUACGGGAGACAGCAGUGGGGAAUAUUGGGCAAUGGGCGCAAGCCUGACCCAGCAACGCCGCGUGAAGGAAGAAGGCCCUCGGGUUGUAAACUUCUUUUGUCAGGGACGAAGAAAGUGACGGUACCUGACGAAUAAGCCACGGCUAACUACGUGCCAGCAGCCGCGGCAAUACGGAGGUGGCAAGCGUUAUCCGGAUUUACUGGUUGUAAAGGGCGUGUAGGCGGGACUGCAAGUCAGAGGUGAAAUUCCAGGGCUCAACCCUGGAACUGCAUUUGAAACUGUAGUUCUUGAGUGAUGGUGAGGCAGGCGGAAUGCCGGGUGUAGCGGUGAAAUGCGUAGAGAUACGGAGGAACACCAGUGGCGAAGGCGGCCUGCUGGACAUUAACUGACGCUGAGGCGCGAAAGCGUGGGGAGCAAACAGGAUUAGAUACCCGGGUAGAC